UCGAGGAUCUUCGGCAAUGGGCGCAAGCCUGACCGAGCGACGCCGCGUGCGGGAUGAAGGCCUUCGGGUUGUAAACCGCUGUCGAGGGGGAGGAAGCUCCGCAAGGGGUUGACCUAUCCCUGGAGGAAGCACGGGCUAAGUUCGUGCCAGCAGCCGCGGUAAGACGAACCGUGCGAACGUUGUUCGGAAUCACUGGGCUUAAAGGGCGCGUAGGCGGUCGAUCAAGUCUGGGGUGAAAUCUUUCGGCUUAACCGGAAAAGAGCCUGGGAUACUGAUCGGCUGGAGGGGGGUAGGGGCAGCUGGAACUUCCGGUGGAGCGGUGAAAUGCGUUGAUAUCGGAAGGAACGCCGGUGGCGAAAGCGAGCUGCUAGACCCUUACUGACGCUGAGGCGCGAAAGCCAGGGGAGCAAACGGGAUUAGAUACCCGCGUAGUCC
rnacentral:rRNA from 1 species